rnacentral:lncRNA from 1 species
GCCUCCUAUAUGUUGAAAUCAAAUCUAGCCUCUUUACCAUCAGUUUUUUCUUUAUUUCAAAAAGAUGAAAACAUUCCCAUAAUUAAAUGUAACUUUGAAAGAAUUUCUCAGUAAACUUGAAACUAAACUAAUAAUAUUUCAAAUGGAAAAAUGUGUUCAACUUUGGGUUGAGUUGCUACUAUUAAGUAGCCUCUAUGACAGAUUUAGAGACUAUCUUUAGUGGGAUAAAAAAUUAGUUUAUACUUUAUAAUAUUUUCACUUGUAACAACACAUUAGAUGAGGAUAGAUAAAAAUGUUUGGUAUAUUAUUGUUUGUUACUUUACUUGAAACAACACAAGUGUUUAAUGUUCUCAAGAACUUAUGCAAUAGUUAUGAUUAUACGACAAUGCACGAUAAAUGAGAUAAUGAAAUAAUAAGUUUAACGUAUAAAAUUAUUGAUGAAUAAUGAACUUGUAAAACUUAUUUACUCUUCAAUAAUUUUUGGAAAAUAGAUUAUCAAAAGCACA